ensembl:lncRNA PCMTD1-DT PCMTD1 divergent transcript
AGCCUCAGCUCCCGGACGCCCGGCGUGGCCGCUUUCUCGCGUCUUGCUGACCCGGGCCGGGGGCGUGUGCUCCUCCUGCAGCGGACGGAAGAUGCUGGGCCACGCAAGUUUCCCUGGGCUUGGUUAACCACCCCAAAGCCCAUUUCCAGAAGGAAAGGGUGUUGAGGAGGAGGGAUAGAAAGUCGAGAAGAGGGCCGGGUCAACACAGAUUCUCGGAAUUAAACACUUCCAUGUCCCAGAGGAUCAAAGUCACUUGCAAAAAUACCUCAAAAUGUGUUUGUCAAGAAAUUACACUUUCUCUUGAUUUUGUGGACCACUUUCUAAUUUCCAACCCAGACAAAAGCCUCCUAGUGAAGCUGGUCUUUCCUAGCACAUCCCCCUACCCCCCCAGCCACUGUCCCAUCCCUGGAUGGCCUGUCCACAGAGAGCACUGUCUGUGUGGCCACUGGGGGAGGCAGCUGCAUCCCAGAGAUGAUGGUGUCCAGGGCAUGACGAGGAAGCUCUUUGUGUGGCCUGGAGACGUCCCGGGAGCUGGCUGGCGCCCACCUUCUCUCACUUCCUUACCACCUUCUUUCUUGUGUUGCUGCUUUCUCCUUCCCAGCUCUAAACUCCCAUGGUGCUGGAGCAGCCAGAGAAGAAGUGUUACUAGACCUGCCACUGCUACCUACAGUGAGCCCCAUUCUGCACACAGAGGCUGCGGACUCCUUUUUCCCAAUCAUAGACCAGAAUGCUUGUGAAAGAAGAUGUGGCUGUUCUGCAGGUUGGAGCUCUAGGAUCGGAAGAACUCAUCUGUAUCACAUAUGAUCCAGCUGAAAGUCCCUACAAACUGGGCCCUCUGUGUCUUUAGAAGCAGCUUCCAAGGGCAGGAAGACUUCCAGAGUGCAGGACUGAGCGUGCUGCUAAUCUUGUUCUGGUCGAGAGACUGAUGAGAGAGAC